rnacentral:tRNA from 1 species
GGAUUAUGGCUCAGGGGUAGAGCGCUUGCCUAGCACGUGCAAGGCCCUGGGUUCGAUCCUCAGCACCA